GACGAACGCUGGCGGCGUGCUUAACACAUGCAAGUCGAACGGAAAGGCCUCUUUCGGGGGGUACUCGAGUGGCGAACGGGUGAGUAACACGUGAGUAACCUGCCCUUGACUUUGGGAUAACUUCAGGAAACUGGGGCUAAUACCGGAUAGGAGCUCCUGCUGCAUGGUGGGGGUUGGAAAGUUUCGGCGGUUGGGGAUGGACUCGCGGCUUAUCAGGUUGUUGGUGGGGUAGUGGCUUACCAAGGCUUUGACGGGUAGCCGGCCUGAGAGGGUGACCGGCCCCAUUUGGACUGGGAUUCAGCCCAGGCCUCUACGGGGGGCAGCAGGGGGGAAUAUUGCACCAUGGGUGGGAGCCCGAAGCCGCAACGGCCGUGGCGGGAUGACGGCCUUCGGGUUGUAAACCCCUUUCGCUUAAGACGGAGCUUUUGGUGACGGUAGGGGGUAAAGAAGCAACGGCUAACUUAGUG
rnacentral:rRNA from 1 species